UGGGGAAUUUUGGACAAUGGGCGCAAGCCUGAUCCAGCUAUGCCGCGUGAGUGAAGAAGGCCUUAGGGUUGUAAAGCUCUUUCGGUCGGGAAGAAGUGUGUUUGUUUAAGAGAUGAGCAUAUUGACGGUACCGACAUAAGAAGCACCGGCUAACUACGUGCCAGCAGCCGCGGUAAUACGUAGGGUGCGAGCGUUAAUCGGAAUUACUGGGCGUAAAGGGUGCGCAGGCGGUUUCAUAAGUCAGAUGUGAAAGCCCCGGGCUUAACCUGGGAAUUGCGUUUGAAACUAUGAGGCUAGAGUACAGCAGAGGGGGGUGGAACUCCAUGUGUAGCAGUGAAAUGCGUAGAUAUAUGGAAGAACAUCGAUGGCGAAGGCAGCCCCCUGGGCUGAUACUGACGCUCAUGCACGAAAGCGUGGGGAGCAAACAGG
rnacentral:rRNA from 1 species